AUGACGGAGGCGUAUCACCGGACAGUUCGUGAGAUUUUGGCCCUCUCAAAAGCCAAUUCCCCGGGGCUGAUUUUUUUGUCAGAAACUUGUCAAGCCUCAAGUAAGAUGGAGGAAUUGAAGUGGAGAUUACAAAUGACAGGAUUUGCUGGUGUUUCAAGUGAUGGCCUCAGUGGGUGGCUAGCGUUAUAUUGGGAUGAGAAUCUGAAAGUAACGGUGCUAGACUCUUGUGCAUAUUAUAUAGAUGUGGGAAUAGUUGAUGGUGCUAAUGAUAAGACAUGGAGAUCUACCUUUGUGUGUGGAGAACCACGGGUGGAACACCGUCAUUGCAUGGGGAGCGCCCUAUCAAAUCUUCGAGCAGUGUCACCAGAUCUAUGGUUGGUCUGUGGGAAUUUCAAUGAGGCUAUGUGGAAACAUGAACAUUUCUCUCGGUCGCAACGAUCUGAAAAUCAGAUGCUCCUUUUCCGGGAUUGUUUGGAAUCCUGCGAACUCUUGGAUUUGGGCUUUUCUGGAACCCCGUUUACAUAUGAUAACGAGCAGCUGGGUGAGAGGAAUGUGCGGGUUAGGCUGGAUAGGGCAUGUGCAUACAAGGCGUUGAGGGACUUGUUCCCAUUCACGCAAGUAACACACCUAGCCACCUCCUGCUCAGAUCAUGCCCCGCUAUGA
rnacentral:rRNA from 1 species